rnacentral:rRNA from 1 species
CUGGCCUUGACAUCCAGAGAACUUUCCAGAGAUGGAUUGGUGCCUUCGGGAACUCUGAGACAGGUGCUGCAUGGCCGUCGUCAGCUCGUGUCGUGAGAUGUUGGGUUAAGUCCCGUAACGAGCGCAACCCCUAUCCCUGGUUGCUAGCAGGUAAUGCUGAGAACUCCAGGGAGACUGCCGGUGACAAACCGGAGGAAGGUGGGGAUGACGUCAGGUCAUCAUGGCCCUUACGGCCAGGGCUACACACGUGCUACAAUGGCGCGUACAGAGGGCUGCCAACUCGCGAGAGUGAGCCAAUCCCUUAAAACGCGUCGUAGUCCGGAUCGGAGUCUGCAACUCGACUCCGUGAAGUCGGAAUCGCUAGUAAUCGCGAAUCAGAAUGUCGCGGUGAAUACGUUCCCGGGUCUUGUA